rnacentral:rRNA from 1 species
UAAUAGUCGUAACAAGGUCUCCGUUGGUGAACCAGCGGAGGGAUCAUUA